UGGGGAAUAUUGCGCAAUGGGCGAAAGCCUGACGCAGCGACGCCGCGUGGGGGAUGACGGCCUUCGGGUUGUAAACCUCUUUCAGCAGGGACGAAGCGAGAGUGACGGUACCUGCAGAAGAAGCACCGGCCAACUACGUGCCAGCAGCCGCGGUAAUACGUAGGGUGCAAGCGUUGUCCGGAAUUAUUGGGCGUAAAGAGCUCGUAGGCGGUUUGUUGCGUCGGCUGUGAAAACCUGAGGCUCAACCUCAGGCCUGCAGUCGAUACGAGCAGACUAGAGUGUUGCAGGGGAGACUGGAAUUCCUGGUGUAGCGGUGAAAUGCGCAGAUAUCAGGAGGAACACCGGUGGCGAAGGCGGGUCUCUGGGCAACAACUGACGCUGAGGAGCGAAAGCGUGGGGAGCGAACAGGAUUAGAUACCCUGGUAGUCCACGCCGUAAACGUUGGGCGCUAGGUGUGGGGCUCAUUCCACGAGUUCCGUGCCGCAGCUAACGCAUUAAGCGCCCCGCCUGGGGAGUACGGCCGCAA
rnacentral:rRNA from 1 species